rnacentral:rRNA from 1 species
AUUGAACGCUGGCGGCAUGCCUUACACAUGCAAGUCGAACGGUAACAGGUCUUCGGAUGCUGACGAGCGGCGAACGGGUGAGUAAUACAUCGGAACGUGCCCAGACGUGGGGGAUAACGAGGCGAAAGCUUUGCUAAUACCGCAUACGAUCUAAGGAUGAAAGCAGGGGACCGCAAGGCCUUGCGCGUUUGGAGCGGCCGAUGGCAGAUUAGGUAGUUGGUGGGAUAAAAGCUUACCAAGCCGACGAUCUGUAGCUGGUCUGAGAGGACGACCAGCCACACUGGGACUGAGACACGGCCCAGACUCCUACGGGAGGCAGCAGUGGGGAAUUUUGGACAAUGGGCGAAAGCCUGAUCCAGCAAUGCCGCGUGCAGGAUGAAGGCCUUCGGGUUGUAAACUGCUUUUGUACGGAACGAAAAGGCUCUGGCUAAUACCUGGGGCACAUGACGGUACCGUAAGAAUAAGCACCGGCUAACUACGUG